rnacentral:rRNA from 1 species
ACGUAGGGGACAAGCGUUAUCCGGAUUUACUGGGCGUAAAGCGCCCGUAGGCGGCUUUUUAAGUUGGACGUGAAAGCUCCCGGCUUAACUGGGAGAGGCCGUUCAAACCUGAGAGGCUAGAGUGAGGCAGAGGAGCGCGGAAUUCCUGGUGUAGCGGUGAAAUGCGUUGAUAUCAGGAGGAACACCCAUGGCGAAGGCAGCAAACUGGGCAUUA